rnacentral:rRNA from 1 species
AGGGCACCACCAGGAGUGGAGCCUGCGGCUUAAUUUGACUCAACACGGGAAAUCUCACCAGGCCCGGACACUGGAAGGAUUGACAGAUUGAGAGCUCUUUCUCGAUUCGGUGGGUGGUGGUGCAUGGCCGUUCUUAGUUGGUGGAGUGAUUUGUCUGGUUAAUUCCGAUAACGAACGAGACUCUGUCCUGCUAAAUAGUUCCCGCGUCCUUUGUUGCGCGGGAAAUUCUUCUUAGAGGGACUGGCGGCGUCUAGCCGCACGAGAUUGAGCAAUAACAGGUCCGUGAUGCCCUUAGAUGUUCUGGGCCGCACGCGCGCUACACUGAAGGGAUCAGCGUGUCUUCCCUUCCCGAGAGGGACGGGUAACCCGCUGAACCCCCUUCGUGGUAGGGAUCGGGGCUUGCAAUUAUUCCCCGUGAACCAGGAAUUCCCAGUAAGCGCAAGUCAUAAGCUUGCGUUGAUUACGUCCCUGCCCUUUGUACACACCGCCCGUCGCUACUACCGAUUGAACGUUUUAGUG